ACAUGGAGCAGGCAGUUUUACGCCCCAAGCAGUUUUGCGCCCCAGGCAGUUUUACACCCCUGUUUUUACUUAUUUGUCCAGUAGGGGGGACUGUACAUUAAGAACCACCAGAACAGACCUAAGAACAGAUAACUUAAUCGUCCAUCACGAGUUAUGGUAAAUAAACGUUUUCAGGCAAUCGUCCAACAUGUAUAGUUUUAAAUGAUUCAUUGAUAUCGAUAUGAAUUCAUUUCAACAUCUAAAAAGAUAUGUACGUCCAUCAUCAGUGGCCAAAAGAAAUCAAAGUGGCUUGACAUAUUUUGCAAUCCUUCUGCCAAGACCAUGCUUGUUUGUGCCUGUGUACGUUGACAAUCAGGACCAAACUGAUGACCUACUUUCACCUCACUUCAUUUCUGGACAGGACACCCUCACAGACUCACAGUGACACAAUCAAGUUUAUUAUGGAUGUCCUUUUUCCAGAGUCCAACAUCUGUUCCCUUGCUGGUUUGGAAAAUCUCACCAUGCUGGAGGCUGAGGAGAAAUUUCUACAAGUCAUUGACAUAAGGUAUGUAAGGAUGCUAUAAAGGAGAAAUGGUCAAGCAUGACAUCCUGCCAUUAUUUCCAAUAACAAUUUUCUCUACAACUUUAAACUUUCUUUUAUCAGUGAGCGGGAGCAGUUUGACAGGAGGAUUAAGAACAUUUUGAAGAAGAGUGAGUCAUUAUCCCCAUAGGAGUCAUUAUCGAGAGCCAUCCUAUAAUGAUCAUCAAUCCUGUUUUUGAUAAUGGUCUUAAUAAAUAAUGUUGU